ACUCCUACGGGAGGCAGCAGUAGGGAAUCUUCCACAAUGGACGCAAGUCUGAUGGAGCAACGCCGCGUGAGUGAAGAAGGUCUUCGGAUCGUAAAGCUCUGUUGUUGGUGAAGAAGGACGGAGAGAGCAACUGGUCUUCGUUUGACGGUAAUCAACCAGAGAGUCACGGCUAACUACGUGCCAGCAGCCGCGGUAAUACGUAGGUGGCAAGCGUUGUCCGGAUUUAUUGGGCGUAAAGCGAGCGCAGGCGGAGAGAUAAGUCUGAUGUGAAAGCCCUCGGCUUAACCGAGGAAUUGCAUCGGAAACUGUUUUUCUUGAGUGCAGAAGAGGAGAGUGGAACUCCAUGUGUAGCGGUGGAAUGCGUAGAUAUAUGGAAGAACACCAGUGGCGAAGGCGGCUCUCUGGUCUGCAACUGACGCUGAGGCUCGAAAGCAUGGGUAGCGAACAGGAUUAGAUACCCUGGUAGUC
rnacentral:rRNA from 1 species